rnacentral:rRNA from 1 species
AGUGAACGCUGGCGGUAGGCCUAACACAUGCAAGUCGAACGGCAGCACAGUAAGAGCUUGCUCUUACGGGUGGCGAGUGGCGGACGGGUGAGGAAUACAUCGGAAUCUACUUUUUCGUGGGGGAUAACGUAGGGAAACUUACGCUAAUACCGCAUACGACCUACGGGUGAAAGCAGGGGAUCUUCGGACCUUGCGCGAUUGAAUGAGCCGAUGUCGGAUUAGCUAGUUGGCGGGGUAAAGGCCCACCAAGGCGACGAUCCGUAGCUGGUCUGAGAGGAUGAUCAGCCACACUGGAACUGAGACACGGUCCAGACUCCUACGGGAGGCAGCAGUGGGGAAUAUUGGACAAUGGGCGCAAGCCUGAUCCAGCCAUACCGCGUGGGUGAAGAAGGCCUUCGGGUUGUAAAGCCCCUUUGUUGGGAAAGAAAAGCAGCAGGCUAAUACCCCGCUGUUCUGACGGUACCCAAAGAAUAAGCACCGGCUAACUUCGUG